UUGCCAUUUUUUGCUAUAAAUAGAGAAUCCAAAGCUUCUUCAUUUUCAUCCAAAACAAUUUCAUACCAUCAAAUAAUAAUUCAUACAAAAAUAUUUACAGGUGUAAUGGCUUCCAAAGUAUCGAUGUUUCUUGUCCUUUGCUUGGCUAUAGCCAUCCUCAUUUCCUCCGAUGUUUUGGCUAGGGAUUUGUCCGAGACCGAGACCUCAGUCGAAGCUACGUCUGAGGGGACUGAGCAAGGCCGUCCCUGCCGCAACCGCUACUGUUGCCGGCGAGGACGCUAUGGCUGCAUUCGCUGGUGCUGCCGCUACACUAAUGGCAACACAGACGGAGAUGUCGAUGCUACUAACCCUUGAACGAAACCCUAAAUUUAAGUGAAGAUGAGAAUGACGCCACUCUUAAGAACAUCAGCCCUAGCUACUUUAAAUUAAAUCCGAUCCAUGUCUACUUAUAACUACGCCUGUUUGCCUAAGGAAUAAUUUGCACGAGAUCGAUCAUCUGUGAUCCUCUCUAUGUAUGCAUCGCCAUAAUAAUAUUAUGUGAGAAAUAUUACUGUCCAUGAA